GGUCCUGAACAUUUUAAGUUACUUUAACUCACAGGAGCAUCUACAGGCAAACUUCUUGCAGCACAAGCGGUAAGACAGACAUUUUUCAAUCAGUGACCAAGAACUGUAUCUGGGAAGAGAAUAACAACAUGGAAAAUAUGCUAUGAAAUUUCCACAAAAUACUGUCCAAGCCUUCCCUCACCAGCAGCUUAGGAAUGUCAAAGUUUGGUAUCUGUAUGUUCAACAACCUUGAGGGAUUUCUUUUACAUGGAUUCAUUCAGCCACUUUUUGAAACCUUGUGAACUUGAGUCCAGGGUGAAAUUCACGAAAAUGAAGCUGAUUUCGACAUGGUAAUAUGGAGAUGUGGAGGGCCAUCCAAAUGAAAAAGAAUGCCAUUUUCUUGAAUGUUCAGCAAUGAAGACAUUGUACAACUUACGAAGUAGCUACGCCUGUUUCCCAGGAGCAUUCCGAGGUGCACAAAGAGCAACCAAGCUGUCUGUGAGAGGAAUACGUAGAGCCUUCCCUGAGUGAGUUCCCAAAGAACAUCAAGCCUUUUAAGCACAGAAAAAGACGACAUACUGCACUGGAUUAAAAGUAGCCUGAGACAAACAGCAAACACAUCAGAAAGGCUUAUGGACAACUCCCCUCCUGCCAUUCUUGCAGAUAGGUUUUUGCUCCCAAGCUUAAUGUGGGUUAACUCAGUGACUUUCUGAGUGGCAGCAAACUGAGCUCUGACUGAUCCCUGGAGGAGUUCCUUCAAUCUCCUUGGAGGCAUACCUGCCCUCCUUUUCUCUUCAUUAUAAUGUCUCCAGGUCUUAACGAGCCACACCUUUGCAGUUUGUUUCUGUGUUUCCCUGGUCAAUGCCAGAGGAA